rnacentral:snRNA from 1 species
GCACUUACCUGGACGAGGUCAAUUGACGAUCAUUAAGGUCAAUGGCCUAGGGUGGUGACCUCCAUUGCACUUUGGAGGGGCGCCCCCCUAUGGUCGGCCCAAGUGGUCGAGCCAACGUCAUAAUUUGUGAUAGUGGGGGCCUGCGUUCGCGCGGCCCCUCC